rnacentral:rRNA from 1 species
GACGAACGCUGGCGGCGUGCUUAACACAUGCAAGUCGAACGGAAAGGCCCUGCUUUGUGGGGUUCUCGAGUGGCGAACGGGUGAGUAACACGGGAGUAACCUGCCCCUGACUUUGGGAUAACUUUAGGAAACUGGGGCUAAUACCGGAUAGGAGCUCCUGCUGCAUGGUGGGGGUUGGAAAGUUUCGGCGGUUGGGGAUGGACUCGCGGCUUAUCAGCUUGUUGGUGGGGUAGUGGCUUACCAAGGCUUUGACGGGUAGCCGGCCUGAGAGGGUGACCGGCCACAUUGGGACUGAGAUACGGCCCAGACUCCUACGGGAGGCAGCAGUGGGGAAUAUUGCACAAUGGGCGGAAGCCUGAUGCAGCAACGCCGCGUGCGGGAUGACGGCCUUCGGGUUGUAAACCGCUUUCGCCUGUGACGAAGCGUGAGUGACGGUAAUGGGUAAAGAAGCACCGGCUAACUACGUG